UAUGUCUAUCUGCGCCUCCCGCAGUUUGUAAAACUAGCAUUGGUCAUUCAAUUGCACAAGAAUUGAAUCGAAGGUUCUAUAGAUUUUCUGCAGGAGGCUUGGAUGACAUAGCUGAAGUUAAGGGUCAUAGACACACCUAUGUUGGUCCCAUGCCAGGAAAGAAGAUGCAGUGCCUGAAAAGUCUGGGAACAACUAAUCCUCUAGUUCUCAUAAAUGAGAUCGACAAGGCAUUGAUGUGCUUAGCAUGACAAGUUGCAAUUUAAUGAUGAUUUUGAUUUGGGGAAAAUGCUGGUGAUUCAGAAAGUGCUUUGUUAGAGCUUCUUGACCCUGAGCAAAAUGCAAACUUUAUUGAUCAUUAACUUGACGUUCCCAUUGACCGAUCCAAGGUGAUGAUUAUGUGGAGAAGAAACUAGAGGAUGGGAACUCUGACGAAAGUCAUGAAAUGGCUACAAACUGCCUUAACAAAAUGGCUACAAAAUGCCUUAACGAAAUGGCUACAUGAACAACCUGAUGGAACUGAGAAGAAUCAGAAGCUACUUCUCAUGAGCAUCCUGUUGAACCUUUGGAGGAGUCUGACAAAGUGCAGCCAGUUCUGUCAUCAUCAAAUGAUUUUGCAACAGCAGACCAACCCAUUGAUUCACAGGUAUUCUGACAAG